rnacentral:rRNA from 1 species
GAUGAACGCUGGCGGCGUGCCUAAUACAUGCAAGUCGAGCGAACGGACGAGAAGCUUGCUUCUCUUAUGUUAGCGGCGGACGGGUGAGUAACACGUGGAUAACCUACCUAUAAGACUGGGAUAACUUCGGGAAACCGGAGCUAAUACCGGAUAAUAUUUUGAACCGCAUGGUUCAACAGUGAAAGACGUUCUUGCUGUCACUUAUAGAUGGAUCCGCGCUGCAUUAGCUAGUUGGUAAGGUAACGGCUUACCAAGGCAACGAUGCAUAGCCGACCUGAGAGGGUGAUCGGCCACACUGGAACUGAGACACGGUCCAGACUCCUACGGGAGGCAGCAGUAGGGAAUCUUCCGCAAUGGGCGAAAGCCUGACGGAGCAACGCCGCGUGAGUGAUGAAGGUCUUCGGAUCGUAAAACUCUGUUAUUAGGGAAGAACAGAUGUGUAAGUAACUGUGCACAUCUUGACGGUACCUAAUCAGAAAGCCACGGCUAACUACGUG